rnacentral:rRNA from 1 species
CCUACGGGAGGCAGCAGUGAGGAAUAUUGGUCAAUGGCCGCAGGGCUGAACCAGCCAAGUCGCGUGAGGGAUGACGGUCCUAUGGAUUGUAAACCUCUUUUGUCAGGGAGCAAAGGGCGCCACGUGUGGCGCUUUGCGAGUACCUGAAGAAAAAGCAUCGGCUAACUCCGUGCCAGCAGCCGCGGUAAUACGGAGGAUGCGAGCGUUAUCCGGUUUUAUUGGGUUGAAGGGGUGCGCAGGCGGAAUGUCAAGUCAGCGGUAAAAUUUCGGGGCUCAACCCCGUCGUGCCGUUGAAACUGGCGUUCUUGAGUGAGCGAGAAGUAUGCGGAAUGCGUGGUGUAGCGGUGAAAUGCAUAGAUAUCACGCAGAACUCCGAUUGCGAAGGCAGCAUACCGGCGCUCAACUGACGCUCAUGCACGAAAGCGUGGGUAUCGAACAGGAUUAGAUACCCCAGUAGUC